GGCAGAUAUUUUCUCCUCUUCCAGAGCUUUUCCAGUGCAGCAGCAGCACUCCUGUCCAGCAGGUCUCGAUUGACUGCAGAAAGGAGAAGGGAGGAGCGUGUCAAAAGGAGGACAGAUCCUGCCAGGGUUUCCUGGCAAAUGAGGUCUAUCCACUGUUUGGAAGAUGAAACCUGAUGAGCUGCAAUUUGGGUUGGAUUACAGUAUUUCAGAAGACUUUCUGAACUUGCCA